CACGUAGGGCGCAAGCGUUGUCCGGAAUUAUUGGGCGUAAAGAGCCCGUAGGCGGACUGUCACGUCUGCUGUGAAAAUCUAGGGCUUAACCCUGGCCUUGCAGUGGAUACGGGCAGACUAGAGGUAGGUAGGGGAGAAUGGAAUUCCCGGUGUAGCGGUGAAAUGCGCAGAUAUCGGGAGGAACACCGGUGGCGAAGGCGGUUCUCUGGGCCUUACCUGACGCUGAGGAGCGAAAGCGUGGGGAGCGAACAGG
rnacentral:rRNA from 1 species